rnacentral:rRNA from 1 species
GACGAACGCUGGCGGCGUGCCUAAUACAUGCAAGUCGAACGCAGUGGUGACUGGUGAGUAACACGUGUGUAACCUUCCCAUCAGCGGGGAUAACACUUGGAAACAGGUGCUAAACCGAUACUGCUGGAUGUACCCGCGGUGCAUUAGCUAGUUGGUGAGGUAACGGCUCCCCAAGGCAACGAUGCAUAGCCGACCUGAAAGGGUGAUCGGCCACACGGGGACUGAGACACGGCCCAGAGUCCUACGGGAGGCAGCAGUAGGGAAUCUUCGGCAAUGGACGAAAGUCUGACCGAGAAACGCCGAGUGAGUGAAGAAGGUUUUCGGAUCGUAAAACUCUGUUGUUAGAGAAGCGGUAUCUAACCAGAAAGCCACGGCUAACUACGUGCCAGCAGCCGCGGUAAUUC